rnacentral:piRNA from 1 species
UGCUCUGGAGGGGUUGGCACCAGA